AACGAACGCUGGCGGCAGGCCUAACACAUGCAAGUCGAACGCGUCCUUCGGGACGAGUGGCAGACGGGUGAGUAACGCGUGGGAACGUACCCUUUGGUUCGGAACAACUCCGGGAAACUGGAGCUAAUACCGGAUAAGCCCUUCGGGGAAAGGAUUAUCGCCAGAGGAUCGGCCCGCGUUAGAUUAGCUUGUUGGUGAGGUAAUGGCUUACCAAGGCUACGAUCUAUAGCUGGUCUGAGAGGAUGAUCAGCCACACUGGGACGUGAGACACGGCCCAGACUCUUACGGGAGGCAGCAGUGGGGAAGUCUUGGACAAUGGGCGAAAGCCUGAUCCAGCCAUGCCGCGUGAAUGAUGAAGGCCUCGGUUG
rnacentral:rRNA from 1 species